CCAAAAAAAAAUAUGAAUGUAAGUUUGUUAUUUCCAUCCGAAUUAAGCAAUGAACCCAAUGCAAAGAGUUGCCACCAUUAUCCAUGAAUAACCCAUAAAUCAAAACCCAAACCAAAAAGAUCCUGNNNNNNNNNNNAGCAGAGCUUCCAUAGCAACUAGGAGUGGCCAACAUCAGCAUUUAAAUAGAAAUACUGAUUUUGCAGCAAGGGAAUCUGAAAACAUCAUGGAUUCAUAAGAG
rnacentral:misc_RNA from 1 species